rnacentral:tRNA from 1 species
GGGGGUAUGGCGAAAUUGGUAGACGCUGCGGACUUAAAAAAUCCGUUGGCUUUUUUAUAGACCAUGAGGGUUCAAGUCCCUCUACCCCCA